rnacentral:rRNA from 1 species
CCUACGGGGGGCAGCAGUGAGGAAUAUUGGUCAAUGGUCGGGAGACUGAACCAGCCAAGCCGCGUGAGGGAUGAAGGUACAGAGUAUCGUAAACCUCUUUUGUCAGGGAACAAAGGCGGGGACGUGUCCACGGAUGAGUGUACCUGAAGAAACAGCAUCGGCUAACUCCGUGCCAGCAGCCGCGGUAAUACGGAGGAUGCGAGCGUUAUCCGGAUUUAUUGGGUUUAAAGGGUGCGCAGGCGGUCUGUUAAGUCAGCGGUCAAAGCCCGGGGUUCAACCCCGGCCCGCCGUUGAAACUGGCAGGCUCGAGUUGGAGAGAAGUAUGCGGAAUGAGCGGUGUAGCGGUGAAAUGCAUAGAUAGUGCGAAGAACUCCGAUUGCGAAGGCAGCAUGCCGGCCCCACACUGACGCUGAGGCACGAAAGCAUGGGUAUCGAACAGGAUUAGAUACCCCAGUAGUC